ensembl:snRNA U6 U6 spliceosomal RNA
GUGCUCCCUUUGAAGCACACAGACUUCAAUUGGAGUGACACAGAGAAAACUGAUAUGGUCCCUCCCCAAGGAGGACACACAAAUUCAUGAAUCAUUCCAUAUUUUU